rnacentral:lncRNA from 10 species
AAGCACUCUAGCAAGGGACUCCGGCCUUGCGGAGAAUCCCUGUUUCCUUUUAAUUCUUCCUUUUUACUCAAUAAAGCCCUGUCUUACUCACCAUUCAAAUUGUCUGUGAGCCUGAACUUUCAUGGCUGUGGGACAAAGAACCCCGACUUUAGUUGAACUAUGGAAAAAUCCUGCAACAGCACAAAGCAAGACCAAGUGCCGCCAUCUCUGUAGAAUACUGUUCGUGGCAGUACAUUGCGGAGCAUAGAACGAAACCGGGUGUGGAACACUGAGUCCCAAGGAUAGCCAUCUUCAGAGAUACGGCUCAUGACCCAGGUACAUGGUAAGCAGAGAGCAUCACACCUGAGCAGCAUUCUUACUCAGCUCAACAGCAAUAUCUGAGCCUGAGUUUCCCAUUCCAAUCACCAGGAUGCGUUUUCCCUCAAAUCCAUCUGGAUGCUUGUAUUGGCGGCUAUGGAAAUAUUGGCCUUUGAACCUCUCCAUACCUUCAGGGGGAAGAAGAGAGAAGUCUGUGAGCUCCAGAGCAACUAUGUCAAGCUAAUUUCAAUAAAACUGCAUUGCCAGCUUUUCCUUUCUGGAGUUAAUAA